CUCGCGUGGGUGGUAUGUCUACGCUACUGUCUUAGAACCCAAAGCCAGCGUGCACCUCUCAGCGGAGAGGCCCUGGCUCUCUCUGCCUCUUGGCCACGGGUUCAAGUCAGACCCUUCCAGCUCCUGAGUAGUCAAUUAUUCUAUCCUCAAGUGUUCUCUUCUCCAGACCCAAAUCCCUAAGAGUACAGAAGCUGGACUCAGUGACCCCAUAGGUCCACGAUGAUGCUCUUUUGAGUUCCUUCGAUCAAUCCUGGUACAGGCUGAAGCCCCCAACAAUGGGGUUCACCGUCCAUCAAAUGUUCUCAUUUGUCCCUCUUCUUCCCUCGAUGUUGGCAACCAGCACUCCACGCGAUACUCCCAAGCACUGGCAUUGUGUAAAAGGAAAAGACACUGAAGCCUUUACUCAGGAGGAGUCCAGGAAGUAGCAGAACGCCCCUACCGUCGCUCAAGUGCUCGGCGCCUUGCCACCCACCCACACUGGGCUGCUAAUAGACUAGGGCAUUAAUUUAUACUUUAAUGAGCUUGCCCUCUCUGGAGGGCAAGGAGUAGAAGAGGAAAUCAAUUUCGUUGCUUUGUUUUUCUUUCCUAAAGAAGCCCCUGAGUGGGCCCACAGGCAGCAAGAAAAAGAACAGAAAUAGGAAAGAAAGCUACCAAAUGAGAACCUGAGACAUGCGAUGAACAACGUGGGCUACGGACGGGCUGUCCGCCAAAAAUUAAAAGUCAUGAAGGACGAUGCAAACUUCGCAUUUUUUUCAAGCACCCAGUAUGUGUCUUUAUUAAGAACCCCUAGCUGUGUCCUUAGGAAGUGCUUCUGAUAAAGCAGAUGACACAUUCAUCAAACAGAGACACACUUUUAACUCCCCACACCAAAACAGCAGGAAGAAAAUAAUAAAUGGCGGAUGUUCUAAGCAACACAAUGUUGUUUUAGGAAACCAGCAUAACUUCCAAUGUUCUUUAGCUUGUUACGAAUAACUUACAUGCUCUGUGAAUUGGGUGAUACCACUGGUAAGACACAGCCAGAAAAAUACUGCUCACUAGCAGAAAGUGAGCCUGAUAUCACACAAUUUGAAUAAUAUUUUUAAAUAAUUUAAUUUAAUAAAUAAUAGCAUUUUUGGGAGGGGGAGCAAAAGGGUUGAUUGAAAGGCCAUUUAA